ACGAACGCUGGCGGCGUGCCUAAUACAUGCAAGUCGAACGAAACUUUCUUACACCGAAUGCUUGCAUUCACCGUAAGAAGUUGAGUGGCGGACGGGUGAGUAACACAUGGGUAACCUGCCUAAAAGAAGGGGAUAACACUUGGAAACAGGUGCUAAUACCGUAUAUCUCUAAGGAUCGCAUGAUCCUUAGAUGAAAGAUGGUUCUGCUAUCGCUUUUAGAUGGACCCGCGGCGUAUUAACUAGUUGGUGGGGUAACGGCCUACCAAGGUGAUGAUACGUAGCCGAACUGAGAGGUUGAUCGGCCACAUUGGGACUGAGACACGGCCCAAACUCCUACGGGAGGCAGCAGUAGGGAAUCUUCCACAAUGGACGCAAGUCUGAUGGAGCAACGCCGCGUGAGUGAAGAAGGUCUUCGGAUCGUAAAACUCUGUUGUUAGAGAAGAACACGAGUGAGAGUAACUGUUCAUUCGAUGACGGUAUCUAACCAGCAAGUCACGGCUAACUACGUGCCAGCAGCCGCGGUAAUACGUAGGUGGCAAGCGUUGUCCGGAUUUAUUGGGCGUAAAGGGAACGCAGGCGGUCUUUUAAGUCUGAUGUGAAAGCCUUCGGCUUAACCGGAGUAGUGCAUUGGAAACUGGAAGACUUGAGUGCAGAAGAGGAGAGUGGAACUCCAUGUGUAGCGGUGAAAUGCGUAGAUAUAUGGAAGAACACCAGUGGCGGAAGCGGCUCUCUGGUCUGUAACUGACGCUGAGGUUCGAAAGCGUGGGUAGCAAACAGGAUUAGAUACCCUGGUAGUCCACGCCGUAAACGAUGAAUGCUAGGUGUUGGAGGGUUUCCGCCCUUCAGUGCCGCAGCUAACGCAAUAAGCAUUCCGCCUGGGGAGUACGACCGCAAGGUUGAAACUCAAAGGAAUUGACGGGGGCCCGCACAAGCGGUGGAGCAUGUGGUUUAAUUCGAAGCAACGCGAAGAACCUUACCAAGUCUUGACAUCCUUCUGACCGGUACUUAACCGUACCUUCUCUUCGGAGCAGGAGUGACAGGUGGUGCAUGGUUGUCGUCAGCUCGUGUCGUGAGAUGUUGGGUUAAGUCCCGCAACGAGCGCAACCCUUGUUGUCAGUUGCCAGCAUUAAGUUGGGCACUCUGGCGAGACUGCCGGUGACAAACCGGAGGAAGGUGGGGACGACGUCAAGUCAUCAUGCCCCUUAUGACCUGGGCUACACACGUGCUACAAUGGACGGUACAACGAGUCGCGAGACCGCGAGGUUUAGCUAAUCUCUUAAAGCCGUUCUCAGUUCGGAUUGUAGGCUGCAACUCGCCUACAUGAAGUCGGAAUCGCUAGUAAUCGCGAAUCAGCAUGUCGCGGUGAAUACGUUCCCGGGCCUUGUACACACCGCCCGUCACACCAUGAGAGUUUGUAACACCCAAAGCCGGUGGGGUAACCGCAAGGAGCCAGCCGUCUAAGGUGGGACAGAUGAUUGGGGUG
rnacentral:rRNA from 1 species